CCUACGGGUGGCUGCAGUGGGGAAUAUUGGACAAUGGGCGAAAGCCUGAUCCAGCCAUGCCGCGUGUGUGAAGAAGGCCUUCGGGUUGUAAAGCACUUUCAGUGGGGAAGAAAGCCUUGGGGCUAAUACCCUCGAGGAAGGACAUCACCCACAGAAGAAGCACCGGCUAACUCCGUGCCAGCAGCCGCGGUAAUACGGAGGGUGCGAGCGUUAAUCGGAAUUACUGGGCGUAAAGCGCGCGUAGGCGGUCUGAUAAGCCGGUUGUGAAAGCCCCGGGCUCAACCUGGGAACGGCAUCCGGAACUGUCAGGCUAGAGUGCAGGAGAGGAAGGUAGAAUUCCCGGGGUAGCGGUGAAAUGCGUAGAGAUCGGGAGGAAUACCAGUGGCGAAGGCGGCCUUCUGGACUGACACUGACGCUGAGGUGCGAAAGCGUGGGUAGCAAACAGGAUUAGAUACCCCAGUAGUC
rnacentral:rRNA from 1 species